GUGCUCGCUUCGGCAGCACAUAUACUAAAAUUGGAACGAUACAGAGAAGAUUAGCAAGAGGUUAGGGAGGGGAGGGACAGAGAGGAGGUAUGGAUAAUUAUU